AUGAACGCUGGCGGCGUGCCUAAUACAUGCAAGUCGAGCGAACAGACGAGGAGCUUGCUCCUCUGACGUUAGCGGCGGACGGGUGAGUAACACGUGGAUAACCUACCUAUAAGACUGGGAUAACUUCGGGAAACCGGAGCUAAUACCGGAUAAUAUAUUGAACCGCAUGGUUCAAUAGUGAAAGACGGUUUUGCUGUCACUUAUAGAUGGAUCCGCGCCGCAUUAGCUAGUUGGUAAGGUAACGGCUUACCAAGGCAACGAUGCGUAGCCGACCUGAGAGGGUGAUCGGCCACACUGGAACUGAGACACGGUCCAGACUCCUACGGGAGGCAGCAGUAGGGAAUCUUCCGCAAUGGGCGAAAGCCUGACGGAGCAACGCCGCGUGAGUGAUGAAGGUCUUCGGAUCGUAAAACUCUGUUAUUAGGGAAGAACAAAUGUGUAAGUAUCUAUGCACGUCUUGACGGUACCUAAUCAGAAAGCCACGGCUAACUACGUG
rnacentral:rRNA from 1 species